rnacentral:rRNA from 1 species
AUUGAACGCUGGCGGCAGGCUUAACACAUGCAAGUCGAGCGAGCGGCGGACGGGUGAGUAAUGUCUGGGAAACUGCCUGAUGGAGGGGGAUAACUACUGGAAACGGUAGCUAAUACCGCAUACCAUCAGAUGUGCCCAGAAGGGAUUAGCUAGUAGGUGGGGUAAUGGCUCACCUAGGCGACGAUCCCUAGCUGGUCUGAGAGUGUGACCAGCCACACUGGAACGUAGACAAGGGUCAGAAGCCGACGGUAGGCAGCAGUGUGGAAUAUUGCACAAGGGGCGCAAGCCUGAUGCAGCCAUGCCGCGUGUGUGAAGAAGGCCUUCGGGUUGUAAAGCACUUGCAGCGAGGAGGCGUUACUCGCAGAAGAAGCACCGGCUAACUCCGUGCCAGCAGCCGCGGUAAUAC